rnacentral:rRNA from 1 species
CGGACGAACGCUGGCGGCGUGCUUAAAACAUGCAAGUCGAACGGACUUCUCAUGAAGCUUGCGAUUGAGAAGUUAGUGGCGGACGGGUGAGUAACGCGUGGGCAACCUGCCCCUGAGCCCGGGAUAACAGUUCGAAAGGACUGCUAAGACCGGAUAUACUUGCGGUGAAGCAUUUCACUGCAAGGAAAGGGAACGCUCAGGGAUGGGCCCGCGUCCCAUUAGCUAGUUGGUGAGGUAACGGCCCACCAAGGCGACGAUGGGUAGCCGGCCUGAGAGGGUGAACGGCCACACUGGGACUGAGACACGGCCCAGACUCCUACGGGAGGCAGCAGUUGGGAAUCUUCGGCAAUGGGCGCAAGCCUGACCGAGCAACGCCGCGUGAGUGAUGAAGGUUUUCGGAUUGUAAAGCUCUGUCUUCCGGGACGAUAAUGACGGUACCGGAGGAGGAAGCCACGGCUAACUACGUG